GUCUCCUGGCAGCCCAGGGCAGCCUGGCCAUUGCCAUGAGUGUCCUACCCAGUGACUGUACCCAGCCCGCAGUCCUGCAGCUGAAAGAUCGGCUUUUCCAUGCCCAAGGUUCUACCGUCUUGGGCCGACAGGCUCCUGCUUUCCCGUUUCCCCGCGUUGCUGUAGGAGCUGCUCUCCACCCAAAAGAGACAUCAUCACACAGAAUGGGAUUCCAGCCUCCUCGCCAGGUCCCAGCUCCAUCUGUGAGGCCGAGGGCCGCAGCUCAGCCGUCAGUGAUGCCUUUCCUCCCCUCCCAUCCCAUCCCUUCUGUGGGCUCGUGGACACAGUCCUCAAGUGACUACAGGGUCCCCAAACCCCAAGCAACCUUGCCUGUGCAUUUCGUCCCUGGAGUAAGGCCUGCUUUCUCUCAGCCACAGCCAUUCGGAGGACAAAGUGUCCAAGCUAUAAACCCUGUUGGAUUCUGUGGAACAUGGCCUCUUCCUGGUCCUACUCCAGUCAUGGCACCCCCAGAUGUCAUGCAGCCUGGCUCUACCCACCUGCCUGAAACUCCUAGACUGCUCCCUCUGCCUCCUGUGGGACCACCAGGUCCCACCCCUCUGAGCUCCCAACCUGCAGCCUCUCCUGUCACUUUCUCUGUGGCUCACCCUCCUGGCGGCCCUGGAGCACCACGCUCUAGUGCCCUCCCGAGCUCUGGCAUCUUGGCCACUCGUCCAGGACCCCAGGAUACCUGGAAAGUUGCUCCAGCCUCCCAGGAAAACCUCCAAAGGAAAAAGUUGCCUGAGACAUUUAUGCCUCCAGCACCAAUAAUUACAGCUCCACUUAUGAGCCUUGGCCCUGAGCCACAACAGGCCCUGCUGCCACAGUCCCUAGUCUCCGGUGCAAGCCUGCCUCCUCCUGGAGCCCCGAGAGAAUGCAGCCUGCAGCAACUCCAGCCACUGCCCCCUGAGAAGACACAGAAAGAGCUGCCCCCAGAGCAUCAGUGCCUGAAGGACAGCUUUGAGGCGCUCCUUCAGCGCUGUUCCCUGACCGCCACUGACCU
rnacentral:lncRNA from 1 species